GAUGAAGAACGCAGCGAAAUGCGAUAAGUAGUGUGAAUUGCAGAUUUCAGUGAAUCAUCGAAUCUUUGAACGCACAUUGCGCCCUUUGGUAUUCCUUAGGGCAUGCCUGUUCGAGCGUCAUUUAAACCUUCAAGCUCAGCUUGGUGUUGGGUGACUGUCCGCUUCACCGCGGACUCGCCUCAAAAUUAUUGGCGGCCGGUACAUUGGCUUCGAGCGCAGCAGAAACGCGAACUCGGGCCCGUCGUAUUGGCUCCCAGAAGCUAUCUUCACAAUUUUGACCUCGGAUCAGGUAGGGAUACCCGCUGAACUUAAGCAUAUCAAUAAGCGGAGGA
rnacentral:misc_RNA from 1 species